rnacentral:rRNA from 1 species
UGGGGAAUUUUGGACAAUGGGGGAAACCCUGAUCCAGCCAUCCCGCGUGUGCGAUGAAGGCCUUCGGGUUGUAAAGCACUUUUGGCAGGAAAGAAACGUCAUGGGUUAAUACCCCGUGAAACUGACGGUACCUGCAGAAUAAGCACCGGCUAACUACGUGCCAGCAGCCGCGGUAAUACGUAGGGUGCAAGCGUUAAUCGGAAUUACUGGGCGUAAAGCGUGCGCAGGCGGUUCGGAAAGAAAGAUGUGAAAUCCCAGAGCUCAACUUUGGAACUGCAUUUUUAACUACCGGGCUAGAGUGUGUCAGAGAGAGGUGGAAUUCCGCGUGUAGCAGUGAAAUGCGUAGAUAUGCGGAGGAACACCGAUGGCGAAGGCAGCCUCCUGGGAUAACACUGACGCUCAUGCACGAAAGCGUGGGGAGCAAACAGG